rnacentral:rRNA from 1 species
AGCCCUGAGUAAUUAUUCAGGGUAAAACCUGCCCAGUGAUAAGUUAAACGGCCGCGGUACUUUGACCGUGCUAAGGUAGCAUAAUCAAUUGACUUUUAAAUGGAGUCUGGAAUGAAAGGGUGAACGGGCUCCUACUGUCUAUAUCUUAUUUACUAGAAGUUACUAACUAAGUGAAAAUGCUUUGGUAAGAUAAAAGACGAGAAGACCCUUAGAGUUUAUAAAAAAAAUUUUGUUGGGGCGACGGAGGAUGGUGAACAUCCUUGAAAGAGGACAGGACGGUAAUUUCAUGUCUGGAUAAACUACCUUAGGGAUAACAGCAUAAUUUAAUAAAGUUUGUGACCUCGAUGUUGGACUAGGAAGCUCUUGGGUUAGCUGCCUAAGCGGGUGAUUCUGUUCGAAUUUAUACUCCU